UGGCUCUGUACGCAGGAUGAGGGGAGGCUUGUGUGUGUGUGUGCGCUGUGGGUUCCUGAACAGAAAGUUCUACCCCAUCUGAUGAGCCCUGGCAAAAAAGUCAUCAGAGAUGGUACUGAGGCUCUGAAAGCCUACGUGCUGGGGAAGAAGAUCCCAAGGAAGCAAUAAGGAUUGUUAUAAGAACAGGAGUGAAAAUGGCCGGUACCUGUGAGACAUCAAUUAGAGCCUCAGUAAGGAUUGAAUCAAGUGACAGAAAACCCUGCUGUCUGGAAAAAGGAAGAGGAGGACCUUCUGAGAGGAGAUAUGAGUCACUGGCAGAAGACUCCAUUCACAAACAUGACUCCCCAUUGUCUGCCUCACACACAGUGCCCUCUCCCAUUCUCCAGGAACUGGCCAUCCUCAACCAUGGGUCCCAGCUAAAACCCCGGGGCUUAGCUCACUGGACCAAAGAGCAUCUGACUGAAGCUUGCCAGUCAGAUUCUUUUCUCCUAGGAAUGUGAACUUUUAACCUGAGACACAUAGCAGGUGAGAGGCAUAAAUGGUGACCCCUGGAAGGAAGGUCCAUGGGCACAGGGUGAAACCACCUUUACAAAAAGUGCAUCAGCGAGAGAAAUCUAAGCUAACUGACUCCAACUUCACAAGCUAACUGCCUUUGUUAACUUUAAAACAGAGAUAACAAUCCCUUCCCAAAAC
rnacentral:lncRNA from 1 species